CGGUCCAGACUCCUACGGGAGGCAGCAGUAGGGAAUCUUCCGCAAUGGACGAAAGUCUGACGGAGCAACGCCGCGUGAGUGAUGAAGGUUUUCGGAUCGUAAAACUCUGUUAUUAGGGAAGAACAAAUGCGUAAGUAACUGUGCGCAUCUUGACGGUACCUAAUCAGAAAGCCACGGCUAACUACGUGCCAGAGCCGCGGUAA
rnacentral:rRNA from 1 species